rnacentral:rRNA from 1 species
GACGAACGCUGGCGGCGUGCUUAACACAUGCAAGUCGAACGGAAAGGCCCUGCUUUUGUGGGGUGCUCGAGUGGCGAACGGGUGAGUAACACGUGAGUAACCUGCCCUUGACUUUGGGAUAACUUCAGGAAACUGGGGCUAAUACCGGAUAGGAGCUCCUGCUGCAUGGUGGGGGUUGGAAAGUUUCGGCGGUUGGGGAUGGACUCGCGGCUUAUCAGCUUGUUGGUGGGGUAGUGGCUUACCAAGGCUUUGACGGGUAGCCGGCCUGAGAGGGUGACCGGCCACAAUGGGACUGGGAUACGGCCCAGACUCCUACGGGAGGCAGGAGUGGGGAAUAUUGCACAAUGGGCGGAAGCCUGAUGCAGCAACGCCGCGUGCGGGAUGACGGCCUUCGGGUUGUAAACCGCUUUCGCCUGUGACGAAGCGUGAGUGACGGUAAUGGGUAAAGAAGCACCGGCUAACUACGUG